UUUGUUCCCUAAAUAGGGACUUGUAUGAAUGGCCACACGAGGGCUUUACUGUCUCUUACUUCCAAUCCGUGAAAUUGACCUUCCCGUGAAGAGGCGGGAAUACAACAAUAAGACGAGAAGACCCUAUGGAGCUUUAAUUAACCGACCCAAAGAGACCCAUUAAUUUCAACCGACAGGAACAACAAACCUCUAUAUGGGCCGACAAUUUAGGUUGGGGUGACCUCGGAGAACAGAACAACCUCCGAGUGAUUUAAAUCAAGACUAACCAGUCGAAAGUAUUACAUCACUUAUUGAUCCAAAAGUUUGAUCAACGGAACAAGUUACCCUAGGGAUAACAGCGCAAUCCUAUUUCAGAGUCCAUCAUCGACAAUAGGG
rnacentral:rRNA from 1 species